GCAAGUCGAGCGGUAACAUUUCUAGCUUGCUAGAAGAUGACGAGCGGCGGACGGGUGAGUAAUGCUUGGGAAUAUGCCUUAGGGUGGGGGACAACAGUUGGAAACGACUGCUAAUACCGCAUAACGUCUACGGACCAAAGGGGGCUUCGGCUCUCGCCCUUAGAUUAGCCCAAGUGGGAUUAGCUAGUUGGUGAGGUAAUGGCUCACCAAGGCGACGAUCCCUAGCUGGUUUGAGAGGAUGAUCAGCCACACUGGAACUGAGACACGGUCCAGACUCCUACGGGAGGCAGCAGUGGGGAAUAUUGCACAAUGGGCGCAAGCCUGAUGCAGCCAUGCCGCGUGUGUGAAGAAGGCCUUAGGGUUGUAAAGCACUUUCAGUAAGGAGGAAAGGUUAGUAGUUAAUACCUGCUAGCUGUGACGUUACUUACAGAAGAAGCACCGGCUAACUCCGUGCCAGCAGCCGCGGUAAUACGGAGGGUGCGAGCGUUAAUCGGAAUUACUGGGCGUAAAGCGUACGCAGGCGGUUUGUUAAGCGAGAUGUGAAAGCCCCGGGCUCAACCUGGGAACUGCAUUUCGAACUGGCAAACUAGAGUAUGAUAGAGGGUGGUAGAAUUUCAGGUGUAGCGGUGAAAUGCGUAGAGAUCUGAAGGAAUACCGAUGGCGAAGGCAGCCACCUGGGUCAAUACUGACGCUCAUGUACGAAAGCGUGGGGAGCAAACGGGAUUAGAUACCCCGGUAGUCCACGCCGUAAACGAUGUCUACUAGGAGCUGGGGUCUUCGGACAACUUUUCCAAAGCUAACGCAUUAAGUAGACCGCCUGGGGAGUACGGCCGCAAGGUUAAAACUCAAAUGAAUUGACGGGGGCCCGCACAAGCGGUGGAGCAUGUGGUUUAAUUCGAUGCAACGCGAAGAACCUUACCUACACUUGACAUACAGAGAACUUACCAGAGAUGGUUUGGUGCCUUCGGGAACUCUGAUACAGGUGCUGCAUGGCUGUCGUC
rnacentral:rRNA from 1 species